GAUGAACGCUAGCUACAGGCUUAACACAUGCAAGUCGAGGGGUAACGAGAGGAAAGCUUGCUUUCCUUGUCGACGACCGGCGCACGGGUGAGUAACGCGUAUCCAACCUGCCCCCAACUAAGGAAUAACCUUGCGAAAGUAAGACUAAUACCUUAUAAUUUCCUCAGAUGUCAUCUGACGAGGAAUAAAGAUUUAUCGGUUGUGGAUGGGGAUGCGUCUGAUUAGCUUGUUUGCGGGGUAACGGCCCACCAAGGCAACGAUCAGUAGGGGUUCUGAGAUGAAGGUCGCCCACAUUGGAACUGAGACACCGUCCAAACUCCUACGAGAGGAUGCAGUGCGUAAUAUUGGUCAAUGGGCGUAAGCCUGAACCAGCCAAGUAGCGUGCAGGAUGACGGCCCUAUGGGUUGUAAACUGCUUUUAUACAGUAAUAAAGUUAGCCACGUGUGGUUAUUUGUAGGUACUGUAUGAAUAAGGACCGGCUAAUUCCGUGCCAGCCGCCGCGGUAA
rnacentral:rRNA from 1 species